rnacentral:lncRNA from 1 species
UGCUCCUUAAAAGCUUACUCAGUGUUUUGAUUGUAAUAUGUUACACAGAGCAAGGGGUUACACUUAGAAGCUCAUAUUACCUACUUGCAUUCUUACGCAAGACAGAGACAGUAAAAGGCCAGAAGACAGAAGUGAGAAGAUGUAUUUACAAGAAUGUCAGAAUGAAUUCAACAGUUAAAAAUUCACAUAUGUACAGUUUUGAACUGUUCAAGUAUGUUUCAGUUGGACAAAGUGCUAGAAGUCACAAAAAAAAAAAGAGGGGCUAUUAAGACACAGAAGUGGCAGCCAUUUGUAUGCCAAAUGGCUUGUAGGUAGUUGCAGUGUAUGCAGUGCCUAGAAGUUGAAAGUAUCAGGAGCAUUGCCCUGAAUUUGGAAAGUAUAGCUAGCAGCAGUAGAUUCUGGUACAACACUCUGGUCCUCCUCCUCUUCUGCUGAGAAGUAUUUUUCAAUCAGGGUGGCUGAGGCCUUGUACACCUGUUCAUUUUCAUGUGACUGAAGAGCUUCAAUUUUGUCUAGACCUCCACACUCCUCAAUCAUGAGGCAAAGUUUCUCAGUCUCAUUUAUCUUCUCAGCAGCCAGGAAGAUAUUAGAAACAGCAUCCAAAAUUACUAGCACAGUUUUGCUGUCUUUAGCGGUAAGGAGAUUCAGUAGAGGUUCAACAACACCAGCCUGAACAAGAUACACAAUCUGGUCAAUUGUUCCACCGCUUGUGUAGUUAGUUACAGCCCACACAGCUUCUUUUUGAGAUUUGAAGUCUCCCUUUCUCAGAAUACCAAUGAGAUAAGGCACAAGGCCAUGAUCUACAACUUGCUGAAUCUGGUCCUGACGUCCAGCUGUGAUGUUGGACAUUGUCCAGGCGGCUUCUUUUUGAAUGUUGUUUUUAUGAUGAGAUAGGAGACUUGGAAAGACAGACAGGGCUCCUGAAUCAAUAACAAUCUGUGUCUGCUCAUCAGUACCAGUAACAAUAUUUCCUAUGGCUCUCAAUGAAGGAGUCACUAUUGGCAGUUCACCACAUCCCAGCAGUUUGACAAGCUGUGGCACCAAUCCAGUUUUCACAACAACUUCUAUCCUGUCAUUGGAACCAUCUGUUAGAUAGGAGAGUGCCCAGCAUGUGUCUGCUAACACCUCAUGAUCAUCAUGAUGCAAGAGUCGGACAAGAGUUGGAAGAAUCUGCUCAAUAGCUUCUAUGGGUGGUGCAGGAUUCUUGUUACGACACAAGUUUGAGAGGGUCCAGGUAACAUUGCGUAAAUAUCCAGAAGCCAGAGAGGAGAGAUCAGGAACAGCUAGUAGAGUCAGCAGUGGUUCAAUUGCACCAAAUUUAAUAACUAGGUCCCUGUAGAUAGAACCAUCCCCUGCAAUAUUUCCUAAUGCCCACACAGCUUGUUCACUGAUGUGAAUGUGAGGAGAGGCCAGAAGUGAAAUAAAGGCUGGAAUAGCCCCACCAUCUACUACCGCCUUGGUUUGCUCUGAUGUGCCAGAAGCAAUGUUGGUAAGCGCCCAGGCAGAUUCAAAUUGAAUAGGACUACAGUCUGCUCUACUCAAGAAGGAGACAAAUUUUGGAAUCAAACCAGCCUGAAUUAUGUUGUCUAUGGGGGGCUGCUUCUCUCUUGAAAGGAGUUUCCUGGCAGCUUGAGUAGCCUGCAAUUGAAGCUCCAUAUUAUUGCUAUUAACUCCUUUGACUAUUUCUUCAACAGACCAGUGUGCAGAAACCUGAUUGCUCCUAUUUUCCUGAAGGGGAGAAGUGGCAUCAUCUGGAAAAGUGCUAACAUUUCUUCUUUUAAGCAUCUGGUCAUCUUUUUUAGCUUUCCUCAACUCUACAUUGACUUCAAUACGCCGCCUUCUCAUUUCUGUAGUAUCUUUUCCUUUGUUUUUGAAUCUGUUCAAGCGAGCUGCUGUAUUGGUAUUCUCAUUAGUAGACAUCUUGCUUAGUGUUCAGAAGACAAAUGAGGAGAAAAAAAGCCUCAGCUGCAGCCGCUGCAGAUUGCACAAACAAGCCGCCCUCCUGCCUCCCCAGCCAAGGACCACGCUGCCACUAACCUCGGCG